ACUCAAAGGAAUAGACGGGGGCCCGCACAAGCGGUGGAUCAUGUGGUUUAAUUCGAAGCAACGCGAAGAACCUUACCUGGGUUUGACAUCCUCUGACAGUCGUAGAAAUACGAUCUUUGUAGCAAUACAACAGAGAGACAGGUGCUGCAUGGCUGUCGUCAGCUCGUGUGGUGACAUGUUGGGUUAAGUCCCGCAACGAGCGCAACCCCUGUCCUUAGUUGCCAGCAUUAAGUUGGGCACUCUAGGGAGACUGCCGUGGUUAACACGGAGGAAGGUGGGGAUGACGUCAAGUCCUCAUGGCCCUUACAUCCAGGGCGACACACGUGAUACAAUGGUCGGUACAAAGGGACGCGAAACGGCGACGUGGAGCAAAUCCCAAAAAACCGAUCUCAGUUCGGAUUGGAGUCUGCAAUUCGACUCCAUGAAGGUGGAAUCGCUAGUAAUCGCGGAUCAGCACGCCGCGGUGAAUACGUUCCCGGGCCUUGUACACACCGCCCGU
rnacentral:rRNA from 1 species